rnacentral:rRNA from 1 species
AUUGAACGCUGGCUGCAGGCCUAACACAUGCAAGUCGAGCGGAGCGGCGGACGGGUGCGUAAUGCCUAGGAAUCUACCUGGUAGUGGGGGAUAACGUCAGGAAACGGGCGCUAAUACCGCAUACUAUCAGAUGAGCCUAGGUCGGAUUGGCUAGUUGGUGGGGUAAAGGCCUACCAAGGCGACGAUGCGUAACUGGUCUGAGGUGAUGAUCAGUCACGGUGGGACGUAGACACGGUCAAGAAGCUGACGGGAUGCAGCAGUGGGGAAGAGUGGGCAAGGGGCGGAAUCCUGAUCCAGCAGUGUCGCGUGUGUGAAGAAGUACUUAGGUUUGUAAAGCAUUUGAAGUUGGGAGGCGGUACCAACAGAAUAAUCACCGGCUAACUUCGUAGCAGAAGCCGCGGUAAUGC